GAUGAACGCUAGCGGGAGGCUUAACACAUGCAAGUCGAGCGGUAAGGCAGCAAUGCCUGAGAGCGGCGCACGGGUGCGUAACGUGUAUGCAACCUGCCUUAUACAGGGGAAUAGCCCAUGGAAACGUGGACUAAUGUCCCAUAGGAUUACGGAUUCGCAUGGAUUUGUGAUUAAAACUGAGGUGGUAUAAGAUGGGCAUGCGUCUGAUUAGGUAGUUGGUAGGGUAAUGGCCUACCAAGCCGACGAUCAGUAGGGGUUCUGAGAGGAUUACCCCCCACACUGGUACUGAGACACGGACCAGACUCCUACGGGAGGCAGCAGUGAGGAAUAUUGGUCAAUGGCCGGAAGGCUGAACCAGCCAUCCCGCGUGCAGGAUGACGGCCCUAUGGGUUGUAAACUGCUUUUGUACCUGAAGAAACCUGUUUACGAGUAGACAGUUGCCGGUAAGGUAUGAAUAAGCAUCGGCUAACUCCGUGCCAGCCGCCGCGGUAAGAC
rnacentral:rRNA from 1 species